rnacentral:rRNA from 1 species
UACAGAGGGGGCAAGCGUUAUUCGGAAUUAUUGGGCUUAAAGGGCGCGUAGGCGGCUUGGCAAGUGGAAGGUGAAAUCCCUCGGCUUAACCGAGGAACUGCCCUCCAAACUGCUUCGCUUGAGACCGGGAGAGGUGAGUGGAAUUCCCAGUGUAGCGGUGAAAUGCGUAGAUAUUGGGAGGAACACCAGUGGCGAAGGCGGCUCACUGGACCGGUACUGACGCUGAUGCGCGAAAGCGUGGGGAGCAAACGGG